AUUGAACGCUGGCGGCAGGCUUAACACAUGCAAGUCGAGCGGGGUGGUUGUGCUUGCACAACUACCUAGCGGCGGACGGGUGAGUAAUACUUAGGAAUCUACCUAUUAAUGGGGGACAACAUUUCGAAAGGGAUGCUAAUACCGCAUACGCCCUACGGGGGAAAGCAGGGGAUCUUCGGACCUUGCGUUAAUAGAUGAGCCUAAGUCGGAUUAGCUAGUUGGUGGGGUAAAGGCCUACCAAGGCGACGAUCUGUAGCGGGUCUGAGAGGAUGAUCCGCAACACUGGGACAGAGACACGGCCCAGACUCCUACGGGAGGCAGCAGUGGGGAAUAUUGGACAAUGGGGGGAACCCUGAUCCAGCCAUGCCGCGUGUGUGAAGAAGGCCUUUUGGUUGUAAAGCACUUUAAGCGAGGAGGAGGCUACUUGGAUUAAUACUCUAGGAUAGUGGACGUUACUCGCAGAAUAAGCACCGGCUAACUCUGUGCCAGCCGCCGCCGUAAGAC
rnacentral:rRNA from 1 species